rnacentral:rRNA from 1 species
UGCGGAGGGAUCAUUAUAGAGUUAUCAAAACUCCCAACCCAUGUGAACUUACCAUUGUUGCCUCGGUGGACCUACCUGGAUCGACCUACCCGGAGCGAGUUACCCUGUAGCGAGCUACCCGGAGCGGCCUACCCGGAUCGGCCCGCCGGUGGAUUUUUCAACUCUUGUUAUUUUAGUGAAUCUGAGCGUCUUAUUUAAUAAGUUAAAACUUUCAACAACGGAUCUCUUGGUUCUGGCAUCGAUGAAGAACGCAGCGAAAUGCGAUAAGUAAUGUGAAUUGCAGAAUUCAGUGAAUCAUCGAAUCUUUGAACGCACAUUGCGCCCAUGAGUAUUCUCUUGGGCAUGCCUGUUCGAGCGUCAUUUCGACCCUUAAGCAUAGCUUAGUGUUGGGAAUCUACUGUCUGUAGUUCCUGAAAACCAACGGCGGAGUUAUAGUAUCCUCUGAGCGUAGUAAUCAUUAUCUCGCUUCUGUUAGGUGCUGUAAUUCUAGCCGCUAAACCCCCUAUUUUUAAAGGUUUGACCUCGGAUCAGGUAGGAAUACCCGCUGAACUUAAGCAUAUCAAAG